rnacentral:rRNA from 1 species
GACGAACGCUGGCGGCGUGCUUAACACAUGCAAGUCGAGCGGAAAGGCCACUUCGGUGGUACUCGAGCGGCGAACGGGUGAGUAACACGUGAGUAAUCUACCCCUGGCUUUGGGAUAGCCACCGGAAACGGUGAUUAAUACCGGAUACGACCACUUCUCGCAUGGGAUGGUGGUGGAAAGUUUUUUCGGCCAGGGAUGUGCUCGCGGCCUAUCAGCUUGAUGGUGAGGUAAUGGCUCACCAUGGCUUCGACGGGUAGCCGGCCUGAGAGGGUGACCGGUCACACUGGGACUGAGACACGGCCCAGACUCCUACGGGAGGCAGCAGUGGGGAAUAUUGGACAAUGGGCGGAAGCCUGAUCUAGCAACGCCGCGUGAGGGAUGACGGCCUUCGGGUUGUAAACCUCUUUCAGCAGGGACGAAGCGCAAGUGACGGUACCUGCAGAAGAAGCACCGGCCAACUACGUGCCAGCCGCCGCGGUAA